AUUGAACGCUGGCGGCAUGCCUUACACAUGCAAGUCGAACGGCAGCACGGGAGCAAUCCUGGUGGCGAGUGGCGAACGGGUGAGUAAUAUAUCGGAACGUGCCCAGUCGUGGGGGAUAACGUAGCGAAAGCUACGCUAAUACCGCAUACGAUCUAUGGAUGAAAGCGGAGGAUCGCAAGACCUCGCGCGAUUGGAGCGGCCGAUAUCAGAUUAGGUAGUUGGUGAGGUAAAGGCUCACCAAGCCGACGAUCUGUAGCUGGUCUGAGAGGACGACCAGCCACACUGGGACUGAGACACGGCCCAGACUCCUACGGGAGGCAGCAGUGGGGAAUUUUGGACAAUGGGCGCAAGCCUGAUCCAGCAAUGCCGCGUGCAGGAUGAAGGCCUCGGUUGUAACGUGACUUUGUUACGGUACGAACGGUAGA
rnacentral:rRNA from 1 species